rnacentral:lncRNA from 1 species
CGGGGUAACAGGUGCCUCACCUCGGCUGAUGGGAUUAACUCUAGGGCCGCAGAGAGAGGGAGCCCGGCAGCAAAAUCCCAGGAGAGGGAGAGAGAGGGAGCCUCUGGCGGCCAACGGAGGGCGAAAAUCACCGGCCCGAGGCGAGGCCGCCCCACCCCCUCGGCCGUGGGCGAGGGCCCUCAGGCCCGGGGCGAGGCCUGCCCUUCUAGGCCCUGUGUGCCUUUCUGCUCGGGCGUUGCUUCGCUGCUGGGGCCCCACAAGAUGGGAAAACUGAAGUUUAAGUUUUCUAACUUACCCACAGCUUUAUCAGCUAGUAAAUAAAUAUGGCUGGAUAUGAACCUCUGCUAGUCUCCACACAGAAUCUGUAUCUGGGAGCAAAACCUUUUCUCAAUUUCAAAACGUCUUUGUCUGACUUCUUACCUUAUUCGUGCAGAACAAACAGUCAAACAACUAUUUCCAUAUGAAUCCAGAUGCUGUUUUGAUUCUGACUCCACCUGAGGAUAGCGGAUUAGAUGGAGACACUGCUUCCAGUCUGACGGAAUGAUUUCAGCUGGUCCAGCCUAACUCAAAUUCAUCUUUACUCUGACGAAUUAGAUACGUCAGUUCUCUGAUAACUGAUGGAUAUACAAGCUCUGCUUUCCAGUAGAGUUUUGUGUGACUUCUUUAACUCCUAUGGAAAAACCAGUUUUGCCUCCCUUCGUAAUCCAUUUCCUUUAUUCCGUAUAAAUUUGUGCCUUUUGACUCUCCCUUUGAACCAGUUUUAACAUCGGUCUGGCUCCCUCAUUGAUUAACCAGUAAAAUAAAAU